rnacentral:rRNA from 1 species
UUACGACCAUAUCACUUUGAAACACCGGUUCUUGUAGGAGCACCGAAGUUAAGCAACGUCGAGUCUGGUCAGUACCUAGAUGGGUGACCGCUUGGGAAUACCAGGUGGUGUAAG